GCAUGUGAGCGCACAGGGAGGUCCGGAGCAGCAAGCUUGGGAGCGCCUUGCACUCUCUCUGCUUUGACCGAGCGCCUUGCUGUGUAUAACAGGACCCUCGACUUUUCCACCAGCUUGUCCACUGAUGAAAAGGAGAAGCCAGUCAGGAAUCAGCUGCCCUUGCCUGAGAAUCUCUACAAAGAGGAGCAUCUGAUGAGGAAAUGAGAACUUCAGCCAGAAGCCAACAAUAAAUUGAGGGCUUCUACGAGCAGUGCAUUCUCUAGCCCAGUCAAGCCUUCAGAUGUCGAGGUUCCUGCCAGCAUUUUGACUGCACUUCAUGAGAGAGACUUUGAGUCAGAGCCACCUACCUAAACCACUCCAAAAUUCCUGACCAUCAAAAACUUUGAGAUAAUAAAUGUUUGUUGUUUUAAACUACUACCCCUUAAGGUAGUUUUUAAUGUAGCAGUAGAUAACCAAUAUAAGGCACUACUAUAUUCUUAAAAACUUCUAAGAAUUUUACCCAAACCACCAGCUUUAUUACUAUCAGAGUAUCAUAAUGAUAGGUUGUAAGGUACAACUUGUAUUAGGCUAGUUAACAAU
rnacentral:lncRNA from 1 species